rnacentral:rRNA from 1 species
AUUGAACGCUGGCGGCAGGCCUAACACAUGCAAGUCGAGCGGAUGAAGGGAGCUUGCUCCUGGAUUCAGCGGCGGACGGGUGAGUAAUGCCUAGGAAUCUGCCUGGUAGUGGGUGAUAACGUCCGGAAACGGGCGCUAAUACCGCAUACGCCCUGAGGGAGAAAGUGGGGGAUCUUCGGACCUCACGCUAUCAGAUGAGCCUAGGUCGGAUUAGCUAGUUGGUGGGGUAAAGGCCUACCAAGGCGACGAUCCGUAACUGGUCUGAGAGGAUGAUCAGUCACACUGGAACUGAGACACGGUCCAGACUCCUACGGGAGGCAGCAGUGGGGAAUAUUGGACAAUGGGCGAAAGUCUGAUCCAGCCAUGCCGCGUGUGUGAAGAAGGUCUUCGGAUUGUAAAGCACUUUAAGUUGGGAGGAAGGGCAGUAAGUUAAUACCUUGCUGUUUUGACGUUACCAACAGAAUAAGCACCGGCUAACUUCGUG